GCCUUCGUGGCUCAGCUGGUUAGAGCGCCGGUCUCAUAUUCUGAAUCAUCACGAGUAUCAAUAUGACCAUCCACUCGGAUGGGCCAUCCGGAGAUCGCCAGUUCGAUCCUGGCCGAGGGCA
rfam:Puccinia graminis f. sp. tritici CRL 75-36-700-3 supercont2.91 genomic scaffold, whole genome shotgun sequence.